GGGGUGGGGGACUUCUCAUUUGUGUGUGGUCCCUGACAGAUUUUUCUGUGGGUCAGCAGCCCUUGACCUAUAGCACUAUCAUCACAUCAGCCACCAUUAGUACAGAUGAUGUGUCUGUUGGCAUACUGGGAGACAGUAACAGGUAUCCAUUCCAACCUACUUGAUAUCCGUAGUCACUUAUCUGGUCUGGUAAUAUAUUGUCUGCACCUAAAACAAACACAGCGGGAUGGAAGAAAUUAUAGUAGCAGAGGAAAGGCUGUGGGUUCUUUGCUGCUGAGUAGUUGGGCAGUGUGCCCCAAAAUGGAGCUUCAGGAAGAUGUACAGUAAUGAUCAGGGCUUGACAAACCGCGGCAAAAUCCGCUUGCCAGCCCCGCACUGCACAUGCGCCAAACCCGCAUUGUGCAUGCACGCACCAUCGGUGAUCGGGGCGACCAGACGAAAACUACUCGCCGCAGGUGAGUAGAUGCACUGAUUUGUUGAGCCCUGGUAAUGAUACUGUGCUUGUCACUGCGAGGAUGUAGUAUGGAAGGCCUGUCUUGAGUGGCCAGUUGUUUUUCCUGGAAAUAUUCAUUUUCAAGUCCUCCUGUUUAUUUUCAGGGAUGAACUUUGGAUCACUUUCUCAAGCAUUUUUGCAGGUACUUUCUCUACUUGUAUUGGCUUCCAGAGUUGUUUGAAGCUGCUAAGGCCAGACAGAGAACUAAAAGUUAUAUGCGCUAAUUAAUAACGUUACCAAACAGGGACAUGUACGUAAUAUUCAUGCUUUCAUACUCUCCAAUUUGAGCAUACUUACUGAUUUCCGUAUGAUACCUCUUUGUCCAAAUGGCCUGUCCCCUGGCCUUUCCUACCCAGAAACACGAUGAUAGUCGCAAAUUAUGUCUUUGCCAAAAAGCAAAUUAGAGACUUGAUUGGAUGUGCAGUGCUUGUGAACUUACAGCAUUGUUUGGCUGUGGUCCUCCUUUCAGAUGUUCUGAAUUGGUGUGGUCACAAAAAAAAAAACAAUGUUCUGAUUCCCCACACAUUCUUGUGAUGUUAUACGGUAGUACAAUAUUGUAGGUCUCUCUACAAAAAGCAAUUUUUUUGUAAAGAUACAUUGAUGGAAGAAGCAUGAAGAACCACAGUUUACUAAGAUAAAGGAAGUGCUGAUUAGCAUCCAAUUUUCAGAACAAAGGAAAAAGAGAGGCAUAGUUCUCAGAUGUGCAAUCCAUGCUCAAGGUGCUGAAGACCUAUUUUUCUUCUAGCUUCAUUCAUCCUGUCUGUCCGCUGUGUGAUGGAUUGCUAAAAAGAGACACCCACCAUAAGGUGCUGAAGAGUGGCCACGCAGAUUUUUUUUCCUUUGUUUGCAUUUGUACUAUGCAUUAUGAUAUGCCUGUUUGACAGUGGUAUUACUCAUUUAUUUCCAAUUCUUCCUUUCUCCAACAGUAAGAUUAAAAAGGAAAUCAAUGCCAUUAUACAGAAUUAUCUCACCACCCAGAACACAAAGCUCUAUGCCUACAGUAUGUAUUGUACAUCUUCUAUGACUGCAUUUCUCAAGUCCACCCCACAAGAGUGAUGGACACAUAGAAAGCUAAGGCACUGUCCCAUCGUUAGACACAGAAGAAUGGUUGCCACAAGCAAGGAGGAAUGAUGCAGUAGAGGAAUUACAAACAGGAAUAUUUUGAACCAAGUCCCAUCCUCAGUUGACUUUAUGUACAUAACAUUUGACAGUGUUUCUCCAAGAAAACAACUCAAAGCAUACUGUGGCUGCUGCUUUCAUUGCUGCCUCAGGGCUAAAGUGAGUGUGUAACCCCAGCCAAGUCGUCCUAUCUCAGCUCAGUCAAGCUAUUAAGGCUCAGUAUGAAGCACCGCAUUUGGAUGCAUGCUAAACAGACAACAAAAGAACUUGUGAAAGCAUGUGGAGAGUUACCACACCAGCCUUCUGACUAGGGAAAUCUGCAGCUUGACUUCUGAUGACAAUCUUGAAGAAAGUGCUGUCUGUGGUCCUAGCAAAGCAAGAUUCAACCAGAGACGCGUAAUAUGUAGUGCUCAAUAAAUGAAUUCAAAAACCUGUCUGUACUGUUUAUUUGGAAGCACUUAAUCAGUCACCAAAAAUGAAAGUAAUGGGAUAUAAAUACCUAGGUGCAAUACCACUUUUUCCUUCUAAAUAGAGAUCUGUCUGUAUAGCACAGAGUUAGUUUCAGUUCUGUCACUAAUUAUAGGGGCUAAUGUUUUCAAGGGAAAGUGGAAAGAGACUUUCUCUGGUCUUAGACAAGCACUGCUGCUCAGACAGACAAGUGCUAAAUAUUCGUUGCCAGGAAUUUCCCAAGGCCUCAGCCCUUGCACAGCAAAUACAGUUAGUUCUAAAAAGAGUGAUAACAGAAGUAGCUAAGCAAGCAAAAACAAUGACUUUUCCCCCAGCAUGAAUAUCUCUGUAUCUCAACAUGAUGCACUGAGACGCAGGAGAGUCAGAGGAUUGUUGUGCUGGCUGCAGCAUCAUACUUUAUUUCAGUCUGCUACGACAAAUUAACUAUUUAACAAGUUGCUAAUGUGGCUCAUUCAGCUGCUCUGCCUCCCAGCGUGAUAAUAAAACAAAUGAUUACAGUGUGCUUCCUGCCCGACAGAAAUUACUGUGAUGUAAAUGGGAAACUCUAUGCGCUGGGAUAAACAGAAGCAAUAGGAUCUGGAGGUACAGGGCAGUGUCAUAUUGCAUGCUGGAGGGAUGGUUUAGGAGAGCUGUGUAUCUAUCACCUAAAUUCAAUAUGCAGCUCAACACAGUAAUAUCUAUAGUAACCUAGCAACGGGACCACACACCCCUUCUGGUGAAAGUGCUCAAAAGGCCUUUUAGCUUCCAUCUGGUGUAUUGUGAGGGAACUGCAGAAUUUUUAAUCGCCUCCACAUUGCCAUCUGGUGGUUUUUCAUGGAAUGGCAGGAAAAUUCUCCAGCUUUGGCAGAUGAUUUCUUCUCUGGUUUGCAGUGCCUUCAACUGCUCCAUUUGUAUUUCACAGGAGGAACUGCGUUCAUUUUACCUGUAACUACGAUCAGAAUUGUGGAGGGAUCCACCAAUGCAUUUUCUCUUGUUCUAUUGUUGUCUCUCUGAGGGUUAUUGUAUAUUUAAAAUAACCAUGCUCGUCCUCAUGAUGCUUUACUUUCUGUCUCACGGUUAUAUCAUAGAGGUUAUGUCAUGUCAGAAUCUGGGGAUGAACUAGGAUCUGAGCAUGAUUUUCUGAAGUGAACUGUGCAAAUAACUGAAAAGCUUUCCUUGUGUUUGGUUUCUUCAUUGUGUGCAACAAAGAGUGUUUUCUUUAAGCAUCCUGGCUUUCAUGCACAAGAUAUUCUCUCUGGGCAUUACAGAGCAUAAAUGCAUUUGGUUUCUGUGGGUUUGAACUCAGAUUCUGUGCUGUUAGUUAAUGUUCACUUGUCUUUUAUUUGAGCUGAGUUAGGUAGCAAUGUUUUUAGAGUUUUUUACUUGAUUUACAGAGCACCCUUAAAUUAGCACUGUGUUAUAAACAGGGCCUAAUGCCCUGGUUACAGUCUGCCAUCAUCAAUAUCAUCUCCUCAUCUGCAGAGCAAGGCAGGAAAAACAACCACCUUCCUGUGAUCUACCGUGUAUUUCAGACAAGAAAAUUGUUGCAAGAUAAAAUGUUUCCUAAUAAAAUUAUAGAAGCAUCUCUUGGCCUAAGUCCCUACAUGAAGAAAAUCUUUUGUGUUAAGCUGGGAAUAUUUUUAUUUGCUUCAGAGGAUCAACAUUAUGGCAUGUUGACAAAAUAUGCCUUUUUAGGUGUCUGGAGUAGGCCUGUUACCAUACUUUCUUACCAUUAACUUCUUUGAUCAGUAACAUAAAUAACAAUUCAGUUGUUUAUGGGGUUUUGUUUUGAGGUUCCUCUCUAGCCCCCACAAAAUCCCCACUACAAAAAAAAAAUUGUAAUUAAACUUGUAGUGCUUUCUGGUGUUUUGCUGGCUGAAUUAGUCAUAAAUUCUUAUUGGAUAUAAAAUCUCCUAAUAUUUUAAAUACAUUAAAAUAGCAUUACCUGCAGCAGCAUAAGAUGCAAAUGACUACAGUACAUUUGUUUUGAACUCAACAAAACUUAAACUUCUUCUUCCCUUUCUGUCU